CGAUGCUGCCUUCGUCGACCCUGUCGUAGAAACCUUCCGGCAGCAUCGCGAUCAGGCACGAGGACAUGGCGAAGGAGAAGCUGUAGUCCGGGACCAUCCCGUGCUUCCGCAGAGGAACGCUCCACUUGUAGUACGUUUCGAUCGCUUUAGAGAUCGCCCAUCUCUGAAGCAAAACAAACAGGGAGAGAGUGCGGCGGCCAGCAUGCAGCGCAAGAAUCCUUCACCAGGUUUGUGAACCAGGAGCUGCGAGAUGCGGUUCAGGUAGAAGUAGCUGAGGUCGACUCCCCACACGCUGGACUUGUGGACCAGCCAGUGCCUUGUUCUGUACACGAUGGUGCAUGGCUGCGCGGCACCUUCAUGGAAACAAGAAUUGUUAGCCACCACACCAUGCAUGCUCUUGAGAACGGCGAGAUCAGACAGACGAGCUCUAGUUCUGGACACCUACCGUUCACCUUGGCGACCUCCGCGGCGAUGUCGAACGCCGAUUUACCGGAGCCGAUCACCGUCACGCGCUUCCCCCUCACGAACUCAGCAGCGUCGCCGUCGUCCAUGUAGGAGUAGUCCAGCGAGUGCAGUAUCUUCCCCUUGAACAGCUCAGGCCCAUUCGCUGGGAACUCUGGGAUGUUUGGGGUUCCACUGUGCCUUCCAAUACACAGGAUGAGAAAAUCCACCACAAAAACCUGUAAUUUAGGUUGAGACACGAAGGAUGGAAACAACAGCAAUGAACAAUCUGGACUCUCUUUGACUGUGA